rnacentral:rRNA from 1 species
GACGAACGCUGGCGGCACGCCUAACACAUGCAAGUCGAGCGGACUUAAAAGAGCUUGCUUUUUUAGGUUAGUGGCGGACGGGUGAGUAACACGUGAGCAACCUGCCUCUGAGAGGGGGAUAGCUUCUGGAAACGGAUGGUAAUACCCCAUAAAAUAUAAAUAUCGCAUGAUAGAUAUAUCAAAGAAAUUCGCUCAGAGAUGGGCUCGCGUCUGAUUAGAUAGUUGGUGAGGUAACGGCUCACCAAGUCGACGAUCAGUAGCCGGACUGAGAGGUUGAACGGCCACAUUGGGACUGAGACACGGCCCAGACUCCUACGGGAGGCAGCAGUGGGGAAUAUUGCACAAUGGAGGGAACUCUGAUGCAGCGAUGCCGCGUGGAGGAAGAAGGUUUUCGGAUUGUAAACUCCUUUUAUCAGGGACGAUAAUGACGGUACCUGAAGAAAAAGCUCCGGCUAACUACGUG